GGGUAUAUUUUGUUGUUUAUCUCUCUCUCUCUCUCUCUCUCUCUCUCUCUGUGUGUGUGUGUGUGUGUGUGUGUGUGUGUGUGUGUGUGAGAGAGAGAGAGAGAGAGAGAGAAGGGGCAAACAUAUGCAGUUGA
rnacentral:miRNA from 1 species